UAAGAGAGAGAGAGAGAGAGAGAGAGGCAAUGGCGUUGGAAAUGAAGAGAGAGAAUUGGGUGAAGUGCCGGCCCGGGGGGUGUUAUCUGCGUGUGUAGAAAUACGGGGACCUUUCUAGAGAGAGAAAAUAGGCGAUGAGAGAGAAAGAGAGAAGGGCUAAAAUGGACACGCAGGUGAAGGAGAAGCCGAAUGCAAAGGAUAAGGAAGAAUCCAGUGUUACAUAAAUGGAA
rnacentral:lncRNA from 1 species